rnacentral:rRNA from 1 species
UGGGGAAUAUUGCGCAAUGGGGGAGACCCUGACGCAGCAACGCCGCGUGCAGGAAGAAGGUCUUCGGAUUGUAAACUGUUGUCGCAAGGGAAGAAGACAGUGACGGUACCUUGUGAGAAAGUCACGGCUAACUACGUGCCAGCAGCCGCGGUAAUACGUAGGUGACAAGCGUUGUCCGGAUUUACUGGGUGUAAAGGGCGCGUAGGCGGACUGUCAAGUCAGUCGUGAAAUACCGGGGCUUAACCCCGGGGCUGCGAUUGAAACUGACAGCCUUGAGUAUCGGAGAGGAAAGCGGAAUUCCUAGUGUAGCGGUGAAAUGCGUAGAUAUUAGGAGGAACACCAGUGGCGAAGGCGGCUUUCUGGACGACAACUGACGCUGAGGCGCGAAAGUGUGGGGAGCAAACAGGAUUAGAUACC